AUGUGUGUCUGGGUGUGUCUGGGGGUUUCUGAGCCUCAGUGACCGAAUCAAGGCCCAUCCUUGGGAGAAGGUGUGAGCAGCUUUGCUCAGUGUUUGUCUCUCACCGUUUUCCGCCCCCACUAGAAAGCUCAGUUUUGUAUAAAAAAAAAGAAAAAGAAAAAAAUGUAGAGAGGGAUCAGUGACAUUACUUCAAAAACUGAAUCCAUGAAGGUACGAUUGCCUGGCCUGGGGAGAGUGACCAGGGAGUCAUUCCCUGAAGUGACAUUGACUUUGACCCUUGUUUACCAAACAGAUAUCUUGGAAUUUAAAUAUUGAAUAUGUUCAGUUCAAAAUUCAUAUUCUAAAGUAUUAGCAGCAACUUCCUCUUAAUAGGCAGUUUGUGUGUUUUAUCUGAUUUCUUCUAGGAUGUGCUUGUUCAGCUCUGUGAGUGAGCAUUCCUUUUCUUCAAGGGACAUCUAAAAUUCUUUUAAGAAUCCUGAGGAGUUGAAAGAUAGUACAGAAGGGGGUUGCUUGCCUUGCAUGCUGCCGACACUCGGUUCAAUCCUUGGCACUCUAUAUGGUCCCCCAGCACUGCCAGGAGUAAUUCCUGAGUGUAGAGCCAGGAGUAGCCCCUGAGCAAUGCCGGGUGUGACCCCACACACACACCCACAAAGAACUCUGAUGACAUUACUCUUCCUUUUAAAAGUUCUAUAUAGAAAAAUUGAAUUUUACAUUCAUAGGACAUUGAAUCAUAUUUUUAUUCUGUACAAAAAAAAAGUAAGACAACUCACUAGGAAAGGUCUGGUUAAAAUAGUUAAACCAUACAUUUCCCGAAAGUAACAAAUAUGGAUGUUUUAUCUGACUUUCCUUGGAUAAUACUAUCCAUAUUUGCUACAAGUCCUUUAAAUACUGAAGUAUAUCCAAGAACCACUAAGAAAAGAUAACAAAAGCCAAUUCUGGAUCGAUUGGGCUGACUGAGAUGCUUUGUCAUUCAUACGUUUUAUGUUUAUUUUGAAGUAUUUCACGGUUUAUAAGGCAUUUUCAUGGUUUCUGGGAUUUUUGCUUGAACAAAUAAAUCCUGCUGGCCCACACUGGGAGACAUGGAAGCCACAACUAUUCUAUCUUCCUGUUGAAGAGCCACGGCUCAAACAGGUGAUCCAACGGCCCGCAGCAGUUAUGUCCCUCUUCCCAGAGCAGCUGAACCUGUGAUGGCACAUGAGCAUGCCUUUGUGGGCAGUGGGUUCCCCAGACCUGAAAUGCUGCUAAGGGUUCACUGUGCGGUACUCAGUGGUUUGAGGGUAUAGGUACUGCCGUGCCUUCUCCUGAGGGACUCCCGACAUCCCUUCUUUCUGUUCCUUCCUAACCACUUUCUUUCAACCAAUGUGCAAAUGCAACUGGGGGCUAGGUUUUCCCACUGGAAAUGUUAAACACAUUUUAGGUAACUGUGAAAAUCAUUUAUUUUUAUUCCUUGCCAAUUUGGGAAUAUGCCUUUUGUGUGUAUGUUUUGUGUGUGUGCGUGUGCCCACAUGCGCACGUGUAUGUGUGUGUGUGUGUGUGUGUGUGUGUGUGUGUGUGUGUGUGUGUGUAAAAGUGCUGUAUUCUUUUUUGGAAAAAAAGGACACUUAAAGAAAAAGUCUCCCAAAACUGCAAUCUGAAAUGUCUUACAUUAAGAAUUUCUUGAAUGUUGUGUAUAUAUUUUAAAAAGCACUUUGUCAGAUAGUUUAUACAUUGAUUUCUUAAUUUAUACCCGCUGCCCUCUGUUAAUAUAUUUAAUGACCAAUAACAGAACAUUUAUUGAACGUGGUGUCCGUGUGCACAGCUUGGGGCCGCUGCCCCUUCAUGCCCUCAUCCAGGCCCAUCCUGGAGUGGGGGUCCCUGCAGCAGCAGCAGCAGCAGCAGCCCUGGACCUGGACCUACAGGGGCCCCGCCUAAGCAUCUGGAGGAUCACAACCCGGGACUGGGGUUGUGCAAAGGGGGUUGUGAUCUGCCAAUAAAACUGAUUCUUCAAACCCUG